rnacentral:rRNA from 1 species
GACGAACGCUGGCGGCGUGCUUAAUACAUGCAAGUCGAACGGAAAGGCCCUGCUCUUGUGGGGUGCUCGAGUGGCGAACGGGUGAGUAACACGUGAGUAACCUGCCCUUGACUUUGGGAUAACUUCAGGAAAAUGGGGCUAAUACCGGAUAGGAGCUCCUGCUGCAUGGUGGGGGUUGGAAAGAUUCGGCGGUUGGGGAUGGACUCGCGGCUUAUCAGCUUGUUGGUGGGGUAGUGGCUUACCAAGGCUUUGACGGGUAGCCGGCCUGAGAGGGUGACCGGCCACAUUGGGACUAAGAUACGGCCCAGACUCCUACGGGAGGCAGCAGUGGGGAAUAUUGCACAAUGGGCGGAAGCCUGAUGCAGCAACGCCGCGUGCGGGAUGACGGCCUUCGGGUUGUAAACCGCUUUCGCCUGUGACGAAGCGUGAGUGACGGUAAUGGGUAAAGAAGCACCGGCUAACUACGUG